AUUCUCACUUCAGCAUCACAUAUACCAAAACUGGAACAAUACAGAAGAAAUUAGCAUGGCCCCUGCACAAGGAUGAAACACAAAUUCAUAAAGCAUUCCAUUAAAAA
ensembl:snRNA U6 U6 spliceosomal RNA